GAAGGUUCUAUUUCAGUUUCUUACUUUUGGUUUCAUUGGUCACACGACAAGAACAUCAAACAAGACAGGCUUCUUUUCUAAAAGAGAAAGCUUUAUUUCAGUUUCUUACUCUCGGCUUCCUCUGUCAUGCGAUCAGAAUACUAAACAAGACACACUUCCUUGCUCAGGGAAAAUUUGCAAUCAGUUUCUUGAUUUUGGUCUCCUACCUAUCCUAAGAUCUUUUCUCUUUCAAAGGUGAGCGACGAAACAUUU